rnacentral:rRNA from 1 species
GGGUAGGAGAGCGUCCUGCAUGGGGCGAAGCGGGCGGAUGACCGUCCGUGGACCGUGUGGGAGUGAGAAUGCAGACAUGAGUAGCGAAAGACGGGUGAGGAUCCCGUCCGCUGGAUGACCAAGGGUUCCGGGGCCACGUUCAUCGUCCCCGGGUGAGUCGGGUCCUAAGGCGAGGCCGACAGGCGUAGUCGAAUGGAUGAACGGGUUGAUAUUCCCGUACCGGCAUGCAACCGACAGGCUCGAAUCUGGGGUACUAACCUCCAGGCUUCCUGAUGCCUCCCUUCGGGGUGGUUGAUGGGGGUCGGUUGGGACAGACCCGGUAGUAGGGCAGCGCAGGAGUGACAUGACGGGAUAGCCGGCCAUGGCGGUGGUUUGCCGUGGCCAAGCGUGUGGCCUGUCUUCCAGGCAAAUCCGGAAGACGUGUAGGUGAGGCGUGAUGGGACGGUCCUUUCGGGCCGGAUCCGGUGUGUCCCGUGAUCGAGAAAAGCUUCGGCGUGAGGGUGCGUGCCGCCCGUACCGCAAACCGACACAGGUGGUCAGGUAGAGUAUACCAAUAGCGAUCGAGCGAAUCCUGGUCAAGGAACUCGGCAAAUCACUCCCGUGCCUUCGGUAUAAGGGAGACCCCCUCGCGUGAGGCGUUUCACACGUGGAGCGUUGGGGGGUGGCACAGACCAGGGGGUAGCGACUGUUUACCAAAAACACAGGUGCAUGCGAAGGCGUAAGCCGCUGUAUAUGCACUGACGCCUGCCCGGUGCCGGAAGGUUAAGAGGAUCCGUCAUCCCACUUCGGUGGGGGCAGCGGUGAAUUCAAGCCCCGGUAAACGGCGGUGGUAACUAUAACCAUCCUAAGGUAGCGAAAUUCCUUGUCGGGUAAGUUCCGACCUGCACGAAUGGCGUAACGACUUCCCCACUGUCUCGACCAGGAGCUCGGCGAAAUUGCAGUACGAGUAAAGAUGCUCGUUAAGCGCAGAAGGACGAAAAGACCCCGGGACCUUUACUAUACCUUGGUAUUGUCGUUAGGUGGAGACUGUGUAGCAUAGGCGGAAGGCUUCGAUCCCAUGGCGCCAGCCGUGGGGGAGCCGCAAGGUGAAAUACCGCUCUGUCUUCAUCUGGCGUCUCACCUCGACACGUUAUCCGUGUCAGGGACAGUGCCUGGCGGGUAGUUUAACUGGGGCGGUUGCCUCCCAAAGAGUAACGGAGGCGCCCAAAGGUUCCCUCAGCCCGGUUGGCAAUCGGGUGUUGAGUGCAAUCGCACAAGGGAGCUUGACUGCGAGACCGACGGGUCGAGCAGGGACGAAAGUCGGGGAUAGUGAUCCGGUGCCGGCGUACGGACGCGGCAUCGCUCAACGGAUAAAAGGUACCCCGGGGAUAACAGGCUGAUCAUUCCCAAGAGUCCAUAUCGACGGGAUGGUUUGGCACCUCGAUGUCGGCUCGUCGCAUCCUGGGGCUGUAGCAGGUCCCAAGGGUUCGGCCGUUCGCCGAUCAAAGCGGCACGCGAGCUGGGUUCAGAACGUCGUGAGACAGUUUGGUCUCUAUCCUCUGCGCUCGUUGGAAUCUUGAGGAGACCUGCCCAUAGUACGAGAGGACCUGGGUGGACGAACCUCUGGUAUGCCGGUUGUCGCGCCAGCGGCAUGGCCGGUUGGCUACGUUCGGAAGGGAUAACCGCUGAAAGCAUCUAAGCGGGAAGCCUGCUCCGAGAUCAGGAUUCCGUGGGACCUNGAGUCCCUGUAGGCCCCAGGUGGAUCACCUGGUUGAUAGGCCGGACGUGGAAGCCCCGCGAGGGGUGGAGCGGACCGGUACUAACGGCCGAGAGGCAAUACA